GUUUGGUUUAUCCUGUUGAUUGAUAUAUGCUGUUUCACGAGGUUUCGCGGAGUUUGGAGAAUCGUUGCAGCCUAAAGCGAGAAUCAGUGGGGAUUGUGGUGCGUUCCUUCUACUUAAAAGGCUCAUUCUUUGUCAAUCCGGCAGCUUAUAACAUGAUGGUCCUCCCUGUAUGAAGUUUACCAGAUCAUUCUUUGUGAAUCCGGAUGCUUACAAAACUGAUGAUCCUCCCUAUAUGAAGGGUACUGGUUAAAAAUAUUUAGUGAUUCGACGUGAGAAAGCGCUCAUUAGUUGUAAUCUGGCUGCUUACAAAACAUGAUGCUCCUCCCUCUGUGAAGAUUAAUGGUUAAGAUUUAUUGAGUGGAUGUGAAAGAGCGGAAAUUUACUCUUGGGCAUUUACCUUGUGAUUCUAUUCGUGAUGAAGCUGGCAACAUACACUCAAUCUCUGGCAGCAUACAAAAUGUGUCUGUCUUUACUGUCUAAAAAGGACGUAUAAGUGCGGAAUAUAUAUUAUUGUGGUUUACCUUUUGAGGGUCCUAUUCGUGAUGAAGCCGGCAACAUGCAAAGGGAGGUGUUUUCUAUUUGAAGAGAUCAAAGAUAUUAGAUGUGGAAGCCAAACUUUGGUGUUACACCAGUUCCCUUAGUUAGGUUGCAGCGGUUGAUCUUGAAACUUGACGAUGAUGUCUCCAAUCAUUAACUACAAUUGUUGGCAA